UAGGGGGAAGUAUAUGGGAAGUACUGAGAGUUUUGGUCUCUCAAGAGUGGGUUCAAUUCCCACCCCUCUAA
rnacentral:tRNA from 1 species